rnacentral:tRNA from 2 species
GGGGGAUUAGCUCAGUUGGUUAGAGCGCUACCUUGACAUGGUAGAGGUCCCGAGUUCGAGCCUCGGAUCUCCCACCA